ACUCCUACGGGAGGCAGCAGUGGGGAAUUUUACGCAAUGGGGGAAACCCUGACGUAGCGACACCGCGUGAGCGAAGAAGCCCUUUGGGGUGUAAAGCUCUGUCAGCUGGAACGAAAACAAUGACGGUACCAGCAGAGGAAGCAUCGGCUAACUACGUGCCAGCAGCCGCGGUAAGACGUAGGAUGCGAGCGUUGUCCGGAUUUAUUGGGCGUAAAGAGUUCGUAGGUGGUUUGUUAAGUUUGGUGUUAAAGAUCGGGGCUCAACCCUGGGACUGCACUGAAUACUGGCAGACUCGAGUGUGGUAGAGGCUAGUGGAAUUCCCAGUGUAGCGGUGAAAUGCGUAGAUAUUGGGAAGAACACCGGUGGCGUAGGCGACUAGCUGGGCCAUAACUGACGCUGAGGAACGAAAGCCAGGGGAGCGAAUGGGAUUAGAAACCCGAGUAGUCCCAUG
rnacentral:rRNA from 1 species